UCCCUCAUAGCUCAGUUGGCAAAGAAUCUGCCUGCAAUGCAGAAGACCCCAGUUCAAUUCCUGGGUUGGGAA
rnacentral:tRNA from 1 species